AUGCGCGCACACACACAAAUGCGCGCACAGCCGCACUGCUCUCCUCUGUACAUGCCGCGUCGCGCGCUGGAUUAUCAGACAUCACUCUGUUCUUUGCGCAUCGCGCCGCGUUUCAUACUCGCACCCGCGACCUUAGCGGAAGAUAAAGAGACGGAGGACAGAAAGAGAAGAAAACUCAAGUGAAUUUUGUCAACAUGAGCGAGCGAGGACACACAGGGGAACCCAACAGCAGCCAAGCACCCUCCACAGACAACAAAGAGAAACCGACUGACACUGCAGGAAAACCCGAGCAGGAGGAGGAGGUCGAUAUCGACCUGGAGGCUCCAGAGACAGAGAAGGCGGCCCUGGCCAUCCAGAACCAGUUCAGACGCUUUCAAAAAAAGAAGAAAUAGAGAUACCUCAACAACUAGGACAUCUUACAUAUGCUUUAGGAUGAAAUUGGGAGGGGUAUCGAUAGAGAAAGAAGACGAUAGGCAUAACUUUUAAUCAAGCAUGAAAUGUAUGUAGUCUCCCCUCUGCUCAACCUAAAGCCUAAACAUAUCUACACCCGUAACCUCUCGCUUUAUCUACAGACCGUAUAAAAGCCAUUCUGAGAAGAUCUCAAUCUCUCACACAUAGAGGAAAGCACAGCACCGUGAUAGAAAAUAACACAGCACUUGAUUCAUUAGGAAAGCACAGAGCAAUGUUUCCAGUUCACAUCUUCUCCUUUGGAUCUCCUUUUUGUCUCCCUUUUCAUUUCUGUUUCUUACUAUGGUUUGGGGUUUAGUAUGAACCUGAUUUUCAUUUUCUUUUAGAAAGCGUUGAGAUUAUGUGAUGUUUAUCCCCAAUGAUUAGGACGCAAUAAGAGAUGAGACGUUUAAAAAAGAAAUUUUGCCGCGUGUAAACAACACAGUUUUUCAAUACUUUCCCCGAGUGACCAACAGGACAUCAUUUAUCACAAGCACAAUAAAGUAGUUCAGACAGAUGCCUGGGUUUAGUCAAAAUAACCUUAACCGUAAAGGUGUGCAAUUUCCAUACCAAAGUGAAUUAUUGAUGCACCUGUGGUCAAACCUAAGAGAGCACAGGAAACACACCAUUAAAACAAACGUAAUGGAAGUUAUGUCUCAAUUAAAUGGAGUCGCUGGCAAGAACCGAUGCCCCCUCAGCUAAAUAUCGAAAACAGUCGAUCUGAUCAAAAUAGUAGCUGCAGAGUCAGCACUGAAAUAAAAUCCCCUGACCGGAUCACAGCACAGUUCUCUUCUGUUACAACGCUGGUAAUGUGAGAUUCACUUCACAGCCCACUGUGAACACCUGAUCGGAUAUUUUUUCAAAUCAAUUUGUUUUCCAUGCAACCCAGACAGCCGACAACUCCGGGCCGGAUCCGUGCCAAAGUCACCAGCUCCGGUGCGGAUCUGGACCAGAGUCAUCUGCUCCCUGGAAAUGUACUCAAAGAAUAAUUGACAUGAAAACUAUUUUAGUUUUUCAAGAAUACAGUAAAUCAAGCUUUUUUUGAGGUUUAUACUUAAAAUAGAAAAGUAAGAAAAAAAGUCAACUGAAGGACACAAAACGUUUUUUUUUUGUUUGUUAUGAAAGAGAGACAAUGAAGAGAUCAAACUCUUGAGAAAUUGGGGCAAGGAAACAAAAACGCACAAGGUAUAAAUCAGAUAUAAAUAGUAAUCUCAUAGACACAUUCAGAUAUGGGUUGAGUUCAGAUUUCAUCCCUGCAUGUGACACACUGACCUGCUCUGAAAAACCAACCCUUUAUCUCAAACUAAUUAACACUUCAUUACUUAUUAUUAGAAACUAACCUAGUUUCUUUCUCUAUUUAAAGAAAAAUCUCAUUGCAAAACUGUGGCAUGAAAGGUUCCUUUUAACUCAUCAAACUCAUCUCGGUGUACCAGAAGUACGAUAAUUAUCAUAUAUUUACCAUAAUUUUGACCUCUGUACGAUCAAUAAUGAAAAAAUCCCGUAAUGUAUGAUAAUUCCACAUUUUUUGACACUUCAAAUGGCCGUUGCAAUCAUAGGGCUUCUAUACCCAUUGAUUUAGCUGUGGAUCCUACAUCCACCUUCACAAUUGCGAUGAGAACGCAAAUGCUUGUAAUGCAUGUCUUCUAUCUCUUGGUUUUGACUAGAAGGGACACAGCUACCCCUAAAUCUCACAAGAUGUUGGGUUUAGAGUUCGGUUUACAGUUAUGAUGAGUAUGAAAACAGCGGCCCUGGCUAGAUUUUGGGUUUAGGGUUGGGUUUGGGAUUAGGAUGAAAAAUACUGACAUUGGCUAAAUGGAGUACAGUUAUGGCCUAAAUCCCAUAAAAUGUUGGGUUUAGGGUUAGAUUUGGGGUGAGGAUUAGGAUGAAAACAGCAGCCCUGGCUAGAUGGAGUACAACUACAGUCUUAAUCCUGUGAAAUGUUGGGUUUAGGGUUGGGUUUGGGGUUAUGAUGAAAAAUACUGACAUUGGCUAAAUGAAGUACAGCUAUGGCCUAAAUCCCGUAAAUUGUUGGGUUUUGGUUAGGUUUGGGGUUACGAUUAGGAUGAAAACAGCAGCCCUGGCUAGAUGGAGUACAGUUAUGGCCUAAAUCCGAUAAAAUGUUGGGUUUAAGGUUGGAUUUGGGGGUAGGAUAAAACAACGCUCAUUCUGCAAGAUUUCACGUGAUUGUGAUUGUGGCUGUUGCUCUUUCCCUUCUAGCUAGAACUCUUUCUCAUGUCUGUCUUCUCUGCGAAACAUUGUUGAGAAAAACUCUCUCUUUCACAAUUAACGUUCCUGCCACGGCGCUUAGGUCAGUAGUAUACUUUUCUUCCAAAUACCAUAAUUUUGAGCUUCUGGAACGAUCCUUGGACAUUUCAAUCUGGCAACAAUGGAGCUCAUUUACAAUCAAAAUUCCUAUAAUGCAAAACCUGUUCUGUGCCCUGUUCUCAUCUAAUCUAAUAUAUUAGUGUAAUGCAAAAGAGUCAUCAAACCCAUAUCGUCGGUUUUAGCCAAUUUCAACCCCUUCCCCGAGACGGACCAUUCAUACUAACAACUUAAAGUCUCAUUGUGUUUCAUUCUCUCAUUAACAUGUUAUACCCACUUUCACUUGUCUCUUUAUGGCCCAUUUAAAGCAUGGCCUCAUUUUCCCUUCCCUUGAGGCAUUUCAAUCCUCAAUCUCUCUUGUGUGACAUGUCAAAUACAUUGGGAUUUCAAAACCUGUUUUAGACAGAGAAGCUGUGGUCCAUACUGAUGUCAUAGAUCUUGCAUUAUAUAUUUCAAUAUUAGAAACAACAUGUAUAGAGUACUGUAUAUCAGUGACUGAUGUAUAUGUCACUAUAAAACACUACUGAAUAUGAUAUUUCUCAGAUGUCCGUGUUUUAAGAAACCAUCCAACAGCCGGAUUCUUUCCUCUCUCGAGUGAUCGAUAUCAUUCCUGUUCAGAUUCUUUAGCCGUCUGCUUUACACUCAUGCACUUCAUCAGAAGUUAAUCUGGUUAAGGUCUCAGAAAUACGCACAAAAGGAAGAACCUCAUCAUUCAGUAAGCCUGUAGUAGUACUACGUCCAGGGGUCUGAAAGCUGAGGGUCUCACGACGAGGAGACAAAAACUGCUGGAACAUUUAGCAAUAACGGUGAUGCUUGGAGAAGAUACGAGCAUCUCCAAAGUGCCAGACACAGAAAGACCUCCACAUUCACUGCAGGGAAUUCACUCAUCGGAGAAGAAAGAUGCAUCCGUGACCCACAGCCUCUUCUCAUCCACUCACAUCUUUAAACAAAACCAGGUUGCAUUAUAAUCUGUCUGUCUUUUAUUGUUUAUGUAACACAUCUAAACCUAAAUUAUUUUUGAUCUUCAGGCAUCUUACUGCAGUUCUGUACAGUACACAACACAUAGACCUGAUGUAAACUAAACCAAACAAGGGUUUACUCUCAGAAGAAGAGUGACAAUCGUACUUACUUUACUGUAGCUGCAGUGUGCGUGACCUUUGUUAAAGUUAAACUCUACAGUCACAAUAUAGAUUUUUCUUUUCAAACAUCUGUCUCAGCUUCACAGCCAGCCAGGUACACAAAGGUACAGAUUGGGACUCAUAUGCUUAUGGGAUUUAUGUAGCUGGUUUUACUGUAUGUCCUUGACUGGAGAAUUAAUGAAGGAAGUGUUUGUGACGUGUCUGUAUGUGUAGAGGAGUGAGAGACAUUCGAACUAUUAAAACUUGUGCAACUUGCUUAAGAAAUCC